rnacentral:rRNA from 1 species
UGCAUGUCUAAGUACAUGCCGUAUUAAGGCGAAACCGCGAAUGGCUCAUUAAAUCAGUUAUGGUUCCUUGGAUCGUACUUUACUACUUGGAUAACUGUGGCAAUUCUAGAGCUAAUACAUGCAGCAGAGCUCCGACCUUCGGGGACGAGCGCUUUUAUUAGACCAAAACCAAUCGGACCUCGUGUCCGUCCUUUGUGGUGACUCUGUAUAACUUUGGGCUGAUCGCACGGGCCCGUCCCGGCGACGUAUCCUUCAAGUGUCUGCCUUAUCAACUUUCGAUGGUAGGUUACGCGCCUACCAUGGUCGUAACGGGUAACGGGGAAUCAGGGUUCGAUUCCGGAGAGGGAGCCUGAGAAACGGCUACCACAUCCAAGGAAGGCAGCAGGCGCGCAAAUUACCCACUCCCAGAACGGGGAGGUAGUGACGAAAAAUAACAAUACGGGACUCUUUUGAGACCCCGUAAUUGGAAUGAGAACACUCUAAACCCUUUAACGAGGACCCAUUGGAGGGCAAGUCUGGUGCCAGCAGCCGCGGUAAUUCCAGCUCCAAUAGCGUAUAUUAAAGUUGUUGCGGUUAAAAAGCUCGUAGUUGGAUCUCAGUUCCAGACGGGUGGUCCACCAACCGGUGGUUACUGCCUGUUCUGAACAGCCAGCCGGUUUCUCUUGAUGAUCUUCACCGGUUGUCUYGRGUGACCGGCAAGUUUACUUUGAAAAAAUUAGAGUGCUCAAAGCAGGCGYGACGCCUGAAUAAUGGUGCAUGGAAUAAUGGAAUAGGACCUCGGUUCUAUUUUGUUGGUUUUCGGAACACGAGGUAAUGAUUAAGAGGGACAGACGGGGGCAUUCGUAUUGCGACGCUAGAGGUGAAAUUCUUGGACCGUCGCAAGACGAACUACUGCGAAAGCAUUUGCCAAGAAUGUUUCCAUUAAUCAAGAACGAAAGUUAGAGGUUCGAAGGCGAUCAGAUACCGCCCUAGUUCUAACCAUAAACGAUGCCAGCCAGCGAUCCGGCUGUGUUCCUCAAAUGACACGCCGGGCAGCUUCCGGGAAACCAAAGCUUUUGGGUUCCGGGGGAAGUAUGGUUG